UUGGAGGGCAAGUCUGGUGCCAGCAGCCGCGGUAAUUCCAGCUCCAAUAACGUAUAUUAAAGUUGUUGCAGUUAAAAAGCUCGUAGUUGAAUUUCGAGACCGGCUUACUGGUCGUGCUAUUGUACGUACUGGUAUAAUCGGUUUCUCCUUUCUGACGAACUAUAAUGCCAUUAAUUUGGUGUUUUAGGGAAUCAGGACUGUUACUUUGAAAAAAUUAGAGUGUUUAAAGCAGGCUCACGCUUGAAUACAUUAGCAUGGAAUAACGGAAUAGGACGUUUGAUUCUAUUUUGUUGGUUUCUAGGAUCGACGUAAUGAUUAAUAGGGAUAGCUGGGGGCAUUAGUAUUCAAUUGUCAGAGGUGAAAUUCUUGGAUUUAUUGAAGACUAACUACUGCGAAAGCAUUUGCCAAGGAUGUUUUCAUUAAUCAAGAACGAAAGUUAGGGGAUCGAAGACGAUCAGAUACCGUCGUAGUCUUAACCAUAAACUAUGCCGACUAGGGAUCGGAUGAUGUUAAUUUUUUAAUGACUCAUUCGGCGCCUUACGGGGAAAC
rnacentral:rRNA from 1 species